rnacentral:rRNA from 1 species
CCUACGGGAGGCAGCAGUGGGGAAUAUUGCACAAUGGGCGCAAGCCUGAUGCAGCCAUGCCGCGUGUGUGAAGAAGGCCUUCGGGUUGUAAAGCACUUUCAGCGAGGAGGAAGGUGGUGAGCUUAAUACGCUCAUCAAUUGACGUUACUCGCAGAAGAAGCACCGGCUAACUCCGUGCCAGCAGCCGCGGUAAU